rnacentral:misc_RNA from 1 species
CUGGGAUUCUUGUCGUUGAGCCAGCUGAGGAUGUUGUCGGUUGCCAUCGAUGCCUUGUGACCACGCACUGCCCUAUCUGCUUCAUCUUUGUGACAGAGCGAGACCGGGCCUACAUGCCAUAACUUCAUCGGAACAUACCCUUUCAACAGGUCGGCAUAGAGGGGCUCCAUCUCGUAGAAGGAGUUCAUCACCAAGCCAUAGCUGCUCUUUUGGGCAGCGGCGAUGCGGGAUAUGUGGGCUUCUGUUUUGGUGGCGAAAUCUGGUAGCUGGGACAGAGUGACCUCUAUGUGGUGAGGGAUGCUGGGGACGACAAAGGGGACGUCGUCGCUGGUGAUGCCAGCAUGGGGUUUGUGAUGGCGGAUGGCACCGAGGACAAUGGUGGCGAAGAAGCUGGUCCCGUGGAACUCGAUCCUCGGGAUGCCGACGUUGGAGGUCCAGGGGUAGAAGAAAUCGGAGAUGAUGAAGUCGGGGCGGUGGACGUCGCAUAAGAGGCGGAAGGGUUGUUCCAGGAGGGCGAUGGCGGAAUGGAAUUCGGGGGUGAUGUCCGGCGUAGGGAGGGAGAGGAGGUUUUCAUGGCCGUUUGGGAGACCCGUUUCCGAACUUGGGAAGGGGAUGGCUAGGAUUUGGAUUGGAUGGGCAAAGUUAGAGUUGGCAUGGUGGAUGGUGGGUUGGAUGCGAGGGACGUUGCCGGCGGUGGUGAUGAUUGUGGCCUUGACGCCGCGGUUGGCGAAGAGGAGAGCGAGGUCGACCAUGGGGUUCAUGUGGCCGGGGGCGAGGAAGGGGAAGAAGAAGACAUG